GUUUAGCCAAAAAUGGGUGAGAUGGUCCAGAUUCUCCCUUUGGAGAAUUUGAAUGACUGGUUAGCAGUGGGAGCUAAAGGGAUAUACAGUACAGACAGAGUCCAUGGGAUAGAACAAGCAAAACUGAUAAGAAACCAGAUAUUACCAUGAGCAGAAGCUGUGGGGUAGCGAAGAAAUGCAGGGCAUGGGUCCCACACUCAAAUGCCCUCGGCAGUAGACAGGCAGUGCCAAUGAGAGAAGAGGGCGCGGCGAAGGUGAUCCCGCACGUAAAGAUUCCGGACUGCCAAGCUCAUGCCACGCCCAGAGACUUCGGAAUUCUCAACAAUGCAAAGGCGUCCUGCUGGCCAAACACAAUGAGUCUGCAGGCUGAAAUAGGUCAGGAGCUGCCAGUUUGCAAAUUCCAAAGAAAGGACGAGGAAGUCAGUUAGGGGCAAGCCCAGAAACCGAACGACACUGACAAGCACAGAGGCAAGGGAGAGCAGAUUCACAAAAAUAACUCAUCGCUGAGGUGAACUCCCGAUGCUGAAGUCCUGAGUUUUUAGUAUCACAAGAUCUUUUGUAUAUAGUAUUUUGAAAAUGCAAUUUGGCUAUUCAGAUGCAUUUCUUGUUUACUUUUUUACUUUUGGCUCUAGUCCAGUUGGUGCAUAUCUUACUAAAGUAAUCUCUGGUUCUGAGGAAUCAAAACAUACUGGAGCCAGCACAAGUAAUGGGAAGGAGAUUUAUUUUAAGUUAUCAUACAGAACCCAACUGAAGAAAGCAUGUGUGAUCAGGCAGCUUCUCUCCCUCUUUCUGUUCCUCCCUUUGCUUGGUUUUCCAAUCUCUUUGUCCUUGUUUCACAUCUGCUCCAUUUUCCUUUUGGCAGACUAGUUAUUCUGCAUCUCUGUAAGUUUUUUUGGUUACUUUACCCUCAUAACACUGGCUUGCAUAUGGUUUUGAGCUGUCAUGCUGCCAGUUUUGGCAACAAGUCUUCAUGACCUCGCAUCAUCAGUGUCAACACUAUCCACUUCAGCUUCUGUGUCUCUCAGAAUAUGAUUUACUCAGUUUGGGCCAAGUGACUGCCCCUAGUCAAAUUAGCUGGUCAGAGAGCAGAGCACAGCCCCUAUUAUUUAAGGAAUGUCCUUCCAGUCUGCAGGCAGAUAGGCUCUCCAAGGAGAUUUUGGCAGGGGUGAAAUGACUGGCAUUUUGACCUGAGCGAAAUUUCUGAAUUUCCGAGCUGUGAUAGGUAGUAAUGUGUCUGGUUAAAAAUGGAAGUUCUGGUGUACGGUAUGGAAGAUUUGGAAAAUUGCAAUUUUGCAAACAUCAUGGUAAAGAUUGAUUUGGACAAGAAUCAUCAGAGAAUGCUAAAUCUAGGCAAGAAAGUUUGUUGAAGAGCAGAAUAUUUCUGUGGUCUUAAAGUAUUUUUCCACUAAUCACAAAUUGGUAACAAGAAGGAAAAUAGUAACUAUACAGUGGGAAAACCAGACAAUAUCCUGACCAGAUGAUCAAGAUUGACAUAACCAAUGAAGAGCAAGUGGACAUCAUGUGGUCUCCAGAUGUGACCGUCAGAAGGACACAACAUUGCUUACGUGGUAUUCCCACUGGAAAUGCAUAACUCAAAUCAAAUCUUGAGAAAACAUCAGACAAACAAAAAUUAAGAAACAAGCUAUGAAAUAACUGACCCGUACUUUUCAAACAUGUCAGUGUCAUGAAAGAUAAUGAAAAGCUGAUGAACUGUUUCAGAUUAAAGGAGACUAAAGAGACACAACAAUUAAACACAAUAUGUGACCCUGGACAAGAUCCUGGACUGGAGGAAAACAAAAUGCCAUAAAGGACAUUAUUGAGACACUUGACUAAAUUGGUAAAGAAAUUUCAGAGAGAGAAUGGACAGGACCUGACUAUUGACUGUUUUCUUCUUUCUAUCCCCAAAACCACUGUCUUAGUCUUUUGCAUUUCUCUCCUUAGUGUAUUUCUAGAGCUUGCCAAGUGAUAGUGCGAAGUCCAUUGUCUUUCUCUUCCAGUCUGUCCUCCAUAUGAUCACUACUGUGACUUUUUGAUCUGAUCAUGCCCUACUCCUAAUUAGAAAACAUUUUUGGCUUGCUACUGCUCAAUCCUAGUCCGGCAAACCAGAAGUAGCUUCAGAAUUCCUUUUAUUUGUCUGUCUGUCUGUGUGUUUGUUUGUUUGUUUGUUUUGAGACAGGGUCUUGCUCUGUUGCCCAGCCUAGAAUGCAGUGGUGUGAUCAUGACUCACUGCAGCCUAAACUUCCUGGGCUCAAACAAUCCUCCCACCUUAGCCUCCCAAGUAGCUGGGCUCAUAGGCAUGCACCACCGUGCCCAGCUAAUUAAAAAAAAAUUGUAGAGAUAGGGGUCUCACUGUGUUGCCCAGGCUGGUCUUGAACUCCUGGGCUCAAGAGAUCCUCCCACCUCAGCCUCCCAGGGUGCUGGGAUUACAGGCAUGAGCCACCACACUGAGUCUCAGAGUUCUUUAGUGGCCAUUUCCCUUCUGCAUUCACAUCCCAAAUUGCUCUAGUUAUUGAUCGGUCCCUCCACCCUCAGUAGUUGUGACAUAACACCCAGUGUGACAUCACAAGGACAGGGAUGAAUGAAAGAUGAAGGAUGGAAUGAAAUAAGCCAGGAAGAUAGGUAGUACUUUUAAAGCUUUGUACCUAGUUUGAGAUAUAGGCUGUUCUAUCAAGUGAAAUGACCCCGUUAAUAUAUGUAUAUAUAUUUUUUGAUACGGAGUCUCACUCUGUAGCCCAGGCUGGAAUGCAGUGGUGUGAUCUCGGCUCACUGCAACCUCUGCCUCCUGGGUUCAAGCAAUUCUCCUGCCUCAACCCCCUGAGUAGCUGGGAUGACAGGUGCGUGCCACCAUGCCCAGGUAAUUUUUGCAUUUUUUGUAGAGACGGGGUUUCACCAUGUUGGUCAGGCUGGUCUUGAACUACUGACCUUGUGAUUCACCCACCUCGGCCUCCCAAAGUGCUGGGACUACAGGCAUGAGCCACCGUGCCCGGCUCAUUUUUUUUAAUAAUUUAUUUUUUAGAGAAAUAAGUGUCCACUGUUUGUGCCAAAUUAAAGUAAAAGGCAAACGAAAAUGGCUUUCUUGGCUGACUUCCAUCCUGAGAUGUCCUGUGAAGCUAUUAGAUGCAGGUAGCUAAGGAUCUCAUUAUCUGGGUCAGGAUUAUUCUAUCAACAGCCCUUUUUCCCUGUCACAGCUGGAGCUGAGAACCAUGUGUCAUAAGACUCCCUCUGCCCCAAAGUGUAGAACCCUUGCUGAAUGGAAAAUAAAUCACUGUUGUUGAAUCAAAUGACCUAUUGGGGUUCCCAGGAGAAUUUGCCUUUAUAUUUUAGUUAUGUGGUGAAAACUCAUGAUUUUUAUUACCCAUGUGGCUUUUCUCCCAUUUCCCAUCUGCUUACUCCCCAUAAUUUUGCCAAAAUGUGAUUCCAUCAUUCUCUUCAAUAAACAAAUAGUGUUUCCUUACUUGCUCUCAGGAAUAAAGCCUUACAGGAAUUGCAUUUAGUGAUGAAUUGAUACAAUUCAUUUACUCUGGACUUAUCAAAUAAGAUUACCAGCAAACAAAAACUUAUCUAGAAUUCAAGGCAGAAGAUUCAGCUAUUAUAUGUUAAUAUCUAUUCCAUAAAUUCAUAAAGUCAUGGCUACAUUAAUAUAAUGAACAAUGAAAGAAGAUUGUGAGUAUAAUUUGGGAAUAUAAUGGUGAAUUGCCAGAGUAAAGGUUAUUCAUUCUGCACCAUGUAUUCUGCAAAGUCAAGUGGAAUUAGAAUCUGUGACCAAAUAACCAUACUCAUUUCUAUGUAGGAGCAAUGGUCAAUUUAGCUCCUUAUAGCUUUGUGUCUCGCAGGGAUGUUGCUAUGUCAAUUUAUACCUAAUCCAUAUUUUUGCUAUGUUUCUAUUUCUACUUUACUCUGUGAAUCACAAAAGCCACUUACCUUAUAUUUUUGGAAUAAGUGAAGUAAUGUAUUAUUUGUAAUAGCAAGCAUUUCUAAGCUACACAUCUAUUAAUAUUAUACUUAGACUCUAAAGUUAUCCAAGUUUUACAGUUAGAUUCCAGUAAAUUGAUGAAUAAAAUCUAAGUUACCCCCUUACCUUCUCAGAGAAUGCUCCUGGUUCAUAAAUAUCUAUGUAAGUUUCCAGAGAAUUGUCAAAAUUGUUAUGUGUUAGACACUCCCAAAUAAAAUAAAUUAGUAAUUGCUCUUUUAAUGGGGCUGAUAAUAUCUGUUCUACUCACUUCACAAGCUUGUAGGAAGCUUAUGAAAUACUUACAGGAAAAUGAAUAAAGUGUUAUUCUAAUAUUAGGUAUUAUUAAAAAUAAUAUAUAAUAAUAGAUAUAAUAAAAGAAAUAUAAAUCUUGGGAAGACAUAUAAUAUUACUCUUUGAUAACAAGGAGACAUAUAUUCUGUUCACAGACCAGGAAGAGUGAAUUCUACAGCCCUAAUCUCAUUAUUCAUUGUCUAAGUGAAAUCAACCAAGUUUAGGCAUCCGCCUUGAGGUGAGCCUUUAAGGGCCUAGACUUAUUACCUGAAUUGCCCCACCCCCACUGCCUUAUUUAAAAUAUCUGGGAUGUGUGUGCAUAAAUCUUCUACUAAGCCUUUAUUUUACCCAUUCUCAGAAAUAAGAGUCAACAACUGCAACAGACUCAGCACUGGAGGGAGGCGAGGUGGGAGGACUCCCCUGUCCAGUAGAGACUGUGCUAGUUGUUUAAGGCUGACAUCCAUUCUUUUUGAUCAGAGUCUAUGUUAGACAGUUCUAUGAGGUGGGUAUUUUUAUUAAUAUCAUCUCUAUUUUAAAAUUAGAAAAUUGAGAGUUUAAAUAACUCUCAAGGUCACAUACUCAAGGUCACAUAGCUAGCAAGUACUAGAGUCAGUAUUUGAACUCAAUCUGUCCCCAGGCUCUGUGCUCAUAACCUUGACACUAUUGUCAAGUAACUGAGUGCAAGGGUCUAUGGAAAAGACUCCUAACCAGGACAUGAAGCGGAAUCAGAUGAGUGGAGAGGGUACAAAGGGGAGACGGCAGAACUCCAAAGGCAAUUCUGUCUGUCCUACCCCUGGAGAGGCCUAGAUGGAAUAUUUGUAACUGAAUAUUAUGCAUUCAAGGAGUAUUUGAGCAGGCCAGGACUUGGAAAAAAUAGACGGAUGCUGUGAUGGCUAAUUUUAUGUGUCACCUUGACUGGGCAAAGGGAUGCCCAGAUACCUGGUAAAAAUGUUAUUUCUGGAUGUGUCCAUGACGGUGUUUUCAGAAGAGAUUAGCAUUUGGAUUGAUAGAGUGAAUAAAGAAGAUCCACCCUCACCGAUGUGAGUGGACAUCAUCCAAUCCACUGAGGGCUUGAAUAGAACAAAAAACAGUGGAAAGGCAAAUUGUCCCUUUCUCUUCUUGAGCUGGGAUAUCCGUCUUCUCCUACCCUCAGACACUGGAGCUUCUGGCUCUUGGGACUCUAGCAGAACCCCACCUGCUCACCCGCAGGCCUCAGGCCUUCAGAUUAGGACUGAAUUCCACCACUGGCUUUCCGGGUUCUCCAGCUUGCAGAUGGCAGAUGAUGAGACUUCUCAGCCUCCAUAAUCAUGUGAGCCAAUUCCCAUAAUAAAUCUCUCUCUCUCUAUCUCUGUCUUACUCUCUCUUGAUUCUGUUUCUCUGAAGAACCCUAACUAAUACAGAUACCUUCAUUUUACAAAUGAAUAAAGUGCAGUGCCAGAGAAGUUCUGUGAAUUGUCUAGGGUCAUACACUCCUUCAUUUAUUUAAUUGUGCAUUAAGUCAACUAGUAUUCUAGGUACCAAGGAAGUCAACAUACUAGACCACAUUGCCUGUCUUCAAGAAAGUUAUGUUUUGGUUAGAAAAGCAUAUAGGACCUCGGCCUCCACCUCAGCCUCCGCCUCCACCUCCGCCUCCACCUCCACCUCGUCUCCCACUUUCCACAGUCUCCCUCUGAUGCCGAGCGGAGGCUGGACUAUACUGCCACCAUCUCGGCUCACUGCAACCUCCCUGCCUGAUUCUCCUGCCUCAGCCUGCCGAGUGCCUGGGAUUGCAGGCGCGCACCGCCACGCCUGACUGGUUUUUGUAUUUUUUGGUGGAGACUGGGUUUCGCCGUGUUGGCGCGGCUGGUCUCCAGCUCCUGACCGCGAGUGAUGUGCCCGCCUGGGCCUCCUGAGGUGCCGGGAUUGCAGACGGAGUGUCGCUCACCCAGGUCUCAAUCUUGCCCAGGCUGGAGUGCAGUGGCGUGAUCUCGGCUCGCUACAACCUCCACCUCGCAGCCACCUGCCUUGGCCUCCCAAAGUGCUGAGAUUGCAGCCUCUGCCCCGCCGCCACCCCGUCUGGGAAGUGAGGAGCAUCUCUGCCUGGCCGCCCAUCGUCUGGGAUGUGAGGAGCCCCUCUGCCCGGCCGCCCAGUCUGGGAAGUGAGGAGCGCCUCUUCCCGGCCGCCAUCCCGUCUAGGAAGUGAGGAGCGUCUCUGCCCGGCCGCCCAUCGUCUGAGAUGUGGGGAGCGCCUCUGCCGGGCCGCGACCCCUUCUGGGAUCUGAGGAGUGUCUCUGCCUGCCCGACCGCCACCCCGUCUGAGAAGUGAGGAGCCCCUCCGCCCGGCAGCCGCCUGGUCUGGGAAGUGAGGAGCGUUUCCGCCCGGCAGCCGCCCCAUCCAGGAGGUGGGGGGCAGCCCCCGCCCCGCCAGCCGCCCCAUCCGGGAGGGAGGUGGGGGGCAGCCAGCCGCCCCGUUCGGGAGGUGGGGGGCGCCUCUGCCCGGCCGCCCUGUCUGGGAAGUGAGGAGACCCUCUGCCCGGCCGCCACCCUGUCUGGGAGGUGUACCCAACAGCUCAUUGAGAACGGUCCAUGAUGACGAUGGCGGUUUUGUUGAAUAGAAAAGGGGGAAAUGUGGGGAAAAGAAAGAGAUCAGAUUGUUACUGUGUCUGUGUAGAAAGAAGUAGAUAUAGGAGACUCCAUUUUGUUCUGUACUAAGAAAAAUUCUUCUGCCUUGGGAUGCUGUUAAUCUAUAACCUUACCCCCAACCCCGUGCUCUCUGAAACAUGUGCUGUGUCCACUCAGGGUUAAAUGGAUUAAGGGCGGUGCAAGAUGUGCUUUGUUAAACAGAUGCUUGAAGGCAGCAUGCGCCUUAAGAGUCAUCACCACUCCCUAAUCUCAAGUACCCAGGGACACAAACGCUGCGGAAGGCGGCAGGGACCUCUGCCUAGGAAAACCAGAGACCUUUGUUCACAUGUUUAUCUGCUGACCUUCCCUCCACUAUUGUCCUAUGACCCUGCCAAAUCCCCUUCUCUGAGAAACACCCAAGAAUGAUCAAUAAAUACUAAAAAAAAAAAAAAAAAAAGAGGACAAUAAAUUAUUGUUGACAAAAAAAAAAACAACUAAAAUUCAUCCAUCAACAGUCUUUGGUGAGAUGAUGGAUAUUUUAAUUUGCUUGACUAUAGUAACCAUUUCACUAUGUGUAAGUAUAUCAAAACAUCAUGUUGUACACUUUAAAUAUAUACAAUUUGACAUUUUUUAAAUUAAAAUAUUGGGAGAUAAAAAAAAAGAAAACUUUCUUGAUCAAUUGAGAUUUGGUCCAUUUUUUUCCCCUCUCUUUCACUACACAAAUCUCAGGAAAAAAUAAACGGUAUAUUUGUUUGGACUAUGGAAAGGUGCGAUAGAAUGAUAUUUGUUCUCUUCCAUGUCAAUGAGAAUUACCAAAAGAGUUAACUUUGUUCAUUACAGGUAAAAAUAAACUGAUAACAAAAUAAAAUUAGCCAAAAGCUUCUGUCUGGGAUUUAUCAUGUCACUUCUCUGCUCAUAUUCCUUCAACA
rnacentral:lncRNA from 10 species